GGCUGUGUGGUGCAAUGAUAGCAUGUCUGAUUUAAGAUCAGAAGGCUGCAUGUUCAAAUCACACCAGGGUUA
rnacentral:tRNA from 1 species